rnacentral:rRNA from 1 species
GACGUAGGGCGCGAGCGUUGUCCGGAUUUAUUGGGCGUAAAGAGCUCGUAGGCGGCUUGUUGCGUCGGCUGUGAAAACCCGCGGCUUAACCGUGGGCUUGCAGCCGAUACGGGCAGGCUAGAGUUCGGUAGGGGAGACUGGAAUUCCUGGUGUAGCGGUGAAAUGCGCAGAUAUCAGGAAGAACACCCGUGGCUAAGGCGGCUCUCUAGUACGGUACUGACGCUGAGACGCGAAAGCGUGGGGAGCGAACAGG